rnacentral:lncRNA from 1 species
UCACUUGUUCUUCAUCAUUUCAUUAUCAUUAUCUCUCACGCGUGAACAGUACUUCUCCAUUUCUCUCUCAAAUUUCUUCAUCUUUCACUCAUUUUCUUGUUAAAAUCAAUCAUCCAAAUCAUUAUUCAUCCAUUACUCCUUCAAUUUUCGUUCUCAAAACUUCAUUUCAUCAACUCUCCACAUAAAACCCAAAAUCAAAAACCUAACUCUACCCGUUUCUCUCUCUUCAUUUUUAAGCUUCCUUUAGCCCAUUUUUUAUCCAAUCUACAUCAUAUAUUAGCUUUAUUCAUCUCUAGGAUCGAUUUUCUUGGCUCAAACAAAUCCAUUUCACUCAAUUUUUUGUAAACCCGAAAUUGGAUCUUUAAGCUUGUUUUUGUUCCAACAAUGGUGGAUGGUGAUAAAUCCAUGAGCAAACAAGUUGCCUAAGAGAUGUAAGGAAAAUUAUGGAGAUAAUACGGAGUUCAUAUCAACCCACUUUCAGCAUCUACCUCUUUGGAAACGGUUUCACGACAAUUUUAUGUCGAGGUCGGUUAUCACUCCCUAUUUUGUUAAUCUUCGUAAUUUGAAGAAUUUAGAAAUUUGUGACAAAUCUCUUAGUUAUUUUCUCAUUGCUAUGGGCUGGAAAAAUGUUUUAGUUAUUAAGGAGCAAUACUAUGAAAAUUUAAUUAAAAUGUUUUAUCCUCGGAUAUAAUUGUUACAAGAGCACUUCAUAUGAGCAUCUAGAAUCAUAUGUAGAUGACUUGAAAAAUGAAAAGGAUGCUUUACAAAAAUGCAAUGAUUCAUUAAAUGAAAAGAUUAAAGGACUAGAGUUAGAUAAUAAAAUGUUGCAUGAUAAAUGCAAACAAAGUACUUCAUAUGAGCAUGAGAAAUCACAUUUUGAUGAAUUAAUGAAAGAAAAUGAAGUGCUUAAGAAGAAGAGCAAUGAACUAAAUCAAAUUGUGUUAAAAUUCAUAAAUGGGCAAAAGAUGUUGGAUAACUUGCUUAAUUCACAAAAAUGUGUGUUUGAUAAAGGAGGUAUUGGUUAUAAGCCAAAUUUGAAACAAAAACAUUAUAAGAGUUAUUUUGUUAAAACUACCUCCAUUAAUGAUCAAAUUGUAUGUCAUUAUUGCAAUCAAAAUGGUCACAUGAAACUUAGAUGUCCGGUUAAAAGAAAUGCAUAUUAUGAAGUAACAUGUAUUUGGGUUCCAAAAGGAACCAUUGCUAACACUCAAGGAUUCAAGAAUAUUUGGGUACCAAAGCACACAACUUGAAUAUUUUUUGUAGGCACCACAAUCAAGGAAUGGCGGAGAGUUCCUUGAUAAAAGCUUAUGAGAAUAAUCACUUGAUCAUGGUGUAAGUAAAAAUGAUGAGACAAUAUGAUUUAAUUGUUUUGGUAACAAUUAUUGCCUUAUUGAUAAUAAGUGAUGGUCUUUUAAACUUAGUAAGUAUUUAAUAAUUCAUUUGGUAUCAUAACAUUAAGUGCAUUAACAUGAAGUGGAUAAGUUUAUCUUGUCUAUUUACUAUGUUGAGUGGAUCAUGAUAAAUGGAUAGUAGCUUGAAUUUGUGAAAGUAUACUUGUAUGUUUACAUGAUUGAAUUAUCAUAGUGUUUAACAUUGAGUGCUUUAUCAUGAUGGAUUUGUUUGAUUUUAAUGAUUAUGUAAUGCCUAAGUAUGAUAAAUGAGUAAUAUGCUUGAAUUAUUAAUCUUUGAAUGCUUAUAUGUUUCAUGAUUGAGUAAAAUAUAUACAUGAUGGAUGAAUUACAUGUGUGAAUUAAUCAUGUCUAAAAUGUUUAUAAUUUCAACCAUAAAGUGUUAUGGUAUCUCAUAAUUGUGAUGGAUAUGCAUGAUGAAUAUGUUAUAAAUUUGAGUUUUAUGAUUUUUUUGGAUGUUUAAAAUCAUUAAAUUGGCUCUUGAGAUGUUUCGGGAUCAUGAAAUGGUCUCGGGAUUGCUCAAAUUUCAACCGGACAGCAAAUUGGUGCAGAAGAGCAGAAACUAGGCAGCUAGCCGCUUAAAAUCUGCUCAAACUUGAGAGCAAGCGAUUAGCCGUUUGGUCACUGGUUUAAGAGAUUUCCCCCCUCUUUUUCAUGUGUUCUUCAACCUCUCUCCAUUCUAUCUCAAAGCCGGACAUAUCCCCUCCAUUUCCACUUAAUAUUUCUUCAUUUCUCACUCAUUUUUAUGUCCAAAUCAAUCAUUCAAACUAAUACCCAUGCAUUUCAUCUUCAUUAAACACUUCUCCAUUAUCAUUUCUUCACUUGUUCUUCAUCAUUUCAUUAUCAUUAUCUCUCACGCGUGAACAGUACUUCUCCAUUUCUCUCUCAAAUUUCUUCAUCUUUCACUCAUUUUCUUGUUAAAAUCAAUCAUCCAAAUCAUUAUUCAUCCAUUACUCCUUCAAUUUUCGUUCUCAAAACUUCAUUUCAUCAACUCUCCACAUAAAACCCAAAAUCAAAAACCUAACUCUACCCGUUUCUCUCUCUUCAUUUUUAAGCUUCCUUUAGCCCAUUUUUUAUCCAAUCUACAUCAUAUAUUAGCUUUAUUCAUCUCUAGGAUCGAUUUUCUUGGCUCAAACAAAUCCAUUUCACUCAAUUUUUUGUAAACCCGAAAUUGGAUCUUUAAGCUUGUUUUUGUUCCAACAAUGGUGGGUGGUGAAAAAUCCAAGAGCAAACAAGUUGCCAAGAGACGCAAGGACGAUUAUGGAGAUGAUACGGAGUUCAUAUCAACCCACUUUCAGCAUCUACCUCUUUGGAAACGGUUUCACGACAAUUUUAUGUCGAGGUCGGUUAUCACUCCCUAUUUUGUUAAUCUUCGUAAUUUGAAGAAUUUAGAAAUUUGUGACAAAUCUCUUAGUUAUUUUCUCAUUGCUAUGGGCUGGAAAAAUGUUUUAGUUAUUAAGGAGCAAUACUAUGAAAAUCU